AGGUAUUCUACUCAAAUGGAAGUUGGCCUGUUUUUUGCUGGCAAUCUCUUCCCUAUAGGACUUCAGUACUUCAACUAUUCAGGCAAUGUGGGCACAAAGAAGGGACAGAGAGGAGCUGGACUACAGAGGAAAUCAGCCAGUUGAUGCACCAUCCAAAACAUCCUCGGAAUGUUAUUGCUAUCUGAUCCAGGCUUGGUCAGUUUGAUGCCUUAAAUUAGGGAUUGGUGUGAAUUUCUUGAGUAUUUGAGCCUACAUGCUGUCAUCCAUGCACCAAUGUAACUCACAACACUUGAAUUCUUUCCUCAGAGACACUAUAGGGGAGGAAGUUUGCAAUUUUAAAGGUAAUUUAAAGCAAUGCACUUCAGAAAUGCCUGGGCUGACAUUUUUGCCUGUCUCUACUGGGAACAAGAAAGCAACUGAAAAGAUUAUUAUGUACAUGUAUCAAAAUGCACAGACAUUUUUCCUGGGAGUUUGUGCUGACCUUAGUGUUUCAUUUAUUGCAAUUAUUCUGUGUAUUUGUUUGCAAUAUUUCAGCUGUAUGGUUACCACAGUUGUUACAAAUAAAGACAAAGUAUGAACAUAUAUAUUUACAUAUAAUAAAAUGAAGCUGUUUAAUGUA